CGAGAUUGCGCCACUGUACUCCAUCCUGGGCCACAGAGUGAGAAACCGUCUCAAAAAAAAAAAAAAAAAAAAAUAGGCCAUAGCCUGAGCUUAGCCUGCUGGCCAUAGUCUACAGACCCAUGCUAUAAUACACGAGUAACUGGUGUGAGUAACUACACACAGACAGAAAAGCACCCAGUGAACAGUGCCUUCAUUUCUCGAAUUUCCUGCUUUCUGUCAACAUGCAUCACACAGUUACAUGCUCUUCCUGUGGUUGCAAUCAGUUUAUCUUUGCAUUCUGCUGUUUUAAAAUUUAACGCCCAUUUCUGUGGAUUGGCAUAGCCCACAUUCUUGUGAAUCACCCACAGUGAUUCCUGCAGUGUUGUCCCCAGCCUCAAGCCUCUCUGCACCGUAAUUGUGCUUCUUUUCCUCAGAUACCUGCCUUGCAUUGGCCCUGGGUAAAUGUUUCCCUUGGCUGUGAAUAGGCAAUUAAAAUUCUGAACCUUUUAUGGCUCUGGAAGCUUAUCCGAUGAAACAAUACUCAUCCAGGCGGAUGGCCCACCAGCGCAAAGGGCUGAGGCCGCUGUAAGCCAAGGUACGCAACGCUUGCUAAACAGGAAUCCCUGGAAUGAAUCCAUGCAUGAGGCCUUUGUGCCAUGUGACAGUUGAAGGCUGUGGUGACCCCGGAACCGUCCCACUCCGAGACGCCUUAACACCGUUUUUCUGCUGUUACAAACCACAGAGCAACGCGUGUGCCUCCUCCCGCCCUGGGGACUCUUUCUGUGGGAGAGGUGCCUGGAUUUAGAGGAGCGACCACUCUUCAUUUGAUCUUGGUCACUUUCCCAGUUGUCACUCGGCCCACAAACUAGGAUGUGAGCAGCAUAUUAAGAAUCUGCAGAGAUGUUCCCGUCUGCCCGGCAUAUGGAUGUCCUUCUGGGCUGCAAAGUGGCAUCCUGUGGGCAACUCCCCCCACAACAACCAGCUGUGAGCUGUGCCCAGGCACAGAGGGACCUGGCUUUCCCUGUUUCUGCAGAUGGAGCCCAGGGUUUCAGGGAGGGAGGGGGCAGGCUGGGACCUGUUGGGGAUCUGGGCACUUUCUCAUGCUCCUUGAGCUGCAAGUCAUAGAAGGAGUGGGGUGGGAGCUGGGAAUGUACCUUCCCAAGGCCACUGGCAGAACCAGCAGGCCCUUUGCUCUGGGAUGAGCUCCCUCUGAGGGGUGGGGACAGUAAAGCGGACCGAAGUCCCUGUUCUGCGGGAUGGAAACUGGCUCCCCUCCAUUGUACAGGCCAGCUCUGGGGAUUUGGGCAGCAGAUUUGGGGUUGACAGCAGAAUGACAUGAUCACCAGUUGACCUUGGCCAGGAUGCCAGCUUACUUUCUCGCUUACUUCUGCAGGUUCUUUGUUCUGCGGGUGAGUCACCCAGGUCCUGCCCUCCGUGCCUGUCUGCCCUCUCCCACUUUCCCUGCCCUGAGCUUGUUCCCACUUGUAGAUUUGGCAGGUCACUGCCAAGGCCCCUAUUCCCCCAACAUGGCCAGUGCCCUAAGGGUGGGUUGUACAGGGAGGAGCUGGCGUGGUCAGUAGACUUGAAUCAGGGACAACUCGGCUGCUGAAGGCUGAGGGGGCCUUGCAGGGCUGCAGGUGCCUUGUGCACACAGGGAGUGGGUAGAGAAGGCAACCAGGGGCUCCUUCAGGCCUUAAUGCUCUGCAGCCCAGUGAGGCUGUGCCCAGAGAGUCUGGCGAGGCCCUGGUCUGCUCCCCCAGCCAAUGGCCUGAUGCUGUUCCAUCUGGGCACCCUGUCACUUUUCGUUCAUCAGGGAGUACAGGGUGAUUCAGGGUCUCAAAUGCAGGUGUUCACAAAAUGAAAUAGAACUUCCCUCUAUCCCCGUGCUUCUUUUUAUUUUUAUAACAAAUAUACAUCGUUAUAUUUUAUUUUUAUAUUUAUGUAUUUUAUAUAUAUGUGACAUCUACUACAUGACAGAAAAUAUUUAUGGCCAGGCAAGGUGGCUUACACCUGUAAUGCCAGCACUUUGGGAGGCUGAGGCAGGCGGAUCACCUGAGGUCGAGAGUUGGAGACCAGUGUGACCAACAUGGAGAAACCCCAUCUCUACUAAAAAUACAAAAUCAGCUGGGGGUGGUGGCGCAUGCCUGUAAUCCCAGCUACUCGGGAAGCUGAGGCAGGAGAAUCGCUUGAACCGGGGAGGCGGAGGUUGUGGUGAGCCGAGAUUGCACCAUUGCACUCCAGCCUGGCAACAAGGGAUAAACCCCGUCUCAAAAAAAAAAAAAGAAAAAAAAAAAGAAAAAAAUAUUUAUAAUGUAACUAAUAUAGCUAAAAUAAAAUGUAAUUUCAGUCUCAAGCCUUCAUUCUGUUAAGGGGACAGAAACUUAAUCUUGGUCAUCUUGGGGUCUCCCUCCCUGGGGCUGUGCCUGACUUCCAGGGGGCUCGGCGUUGGCAGGAUUUCUGGUGCUUGAGGUCACCUGUCAGCCUGUCUCUUGUCAUUGGCUAUCCGCCGUGCCAUCUGCUCCUGUGUGUCCUUGGCACUGUUCGCAUGUCUCCAGCUCGCUGGCUUUCUCUGCCACCUUGGAGCCACUCCUGGGUGCACAGGAGUCUUACUGCUCCCACGCUGUGCUGGGGCCUGGGAAGACUGCUGUGGCCUACCUGCCUCCGUGUAGCACACACACCCAUUUCUUCUUCUUCUUCUCCUUCUCCUUCUUCAGACAGAGACUCACUCUGUCACCUAGGCUGGACUGCAGUGGUGCCAAAUUGGCUCACUGCAACCUCCGCCUCCCGGGUU
rnacentral:lncRNA from 10 species